GACGAACGCUGGCGGCGUGCUUAACACAUGCAAGUCGAACGGAAAGGCCCUGCUUUUGUGGGGUGCUCGAGUGGCGAACGGGUGAGUAACACGUGAGUAACCUGCCCUUGACUUUGGGAUAACUUCAGGAAACUGGGGCUAAUACCGGAUAGGAGCUCCUGCUGCAUGGUGGGGGUUGGAAAGUUUCGGCGGUUGGGGAUGGACUCGCGGCUUAUCAGCUUGUUGGUGGGGUAGUGGCUUACCAAGGCUUUGACGGGUAGCCGGCCUGAGAGGGUGACCGGCCACAUUGGGACGGAGAUACGGCCCAGACUCCUACGGGAGGCAGCAGUGGGGAAUAGUGCACAAUGGGCGGAAGCAUGAUGCAGCAACGCAGCGUGCGGGAUGACGGCCUUCGGGUUGUAAACCGCUUUCGCCUGUGACGAAGCGUGAGUGACGGUAAUGGGUAAAGAAGCACCGGCUAACUACGUG
rnacentral:rRNA from 1 species